rnacentral:lncRNA from 1 species
GGGUAUUCAUGUUAAACAAACCUAGCCUAAUGAGAGGUCUUUGGGUGAGAAUGUAGCCAACUUAUGUGAAACCUCAACGUAAGGAAGGGGUAGUAUAUGGGUGUGGCCGAGAGAGGAGAGUGGAAAGGGGCCCAUGGGUUUGAAUGGUCAUAGGUUGGUAGCAGCGUGAAAUGAGAAAAGAAGGAAGGAUAAACCACAUAGGUUUUUACAUGAAAAAUCUUGGAUUAAAACUAGAGUGAGGUCGUGGUUUUUAAUGAUGAAUAAAGGAAGUGAAAUUUUGGAUGACAGAGUACUUUACUUGAAAACUGGGUUGGGACAGUUAAAAUUGUAUGAAAAGUGAGUAAAGAGAGAUGUUAAGACAAAGAAUUUGCUUUAUUCAAAGUUUGGCAUACGGUGAACUUUGUGUGUGUACGGAAUGAUGCAUGCAAAAAUUGAAAAUAAAGUUAUGUGAAGGAAAGAGAUUGGUGAAGCUUUGUGGGGGUCCAUGGUGAACUAGAUGUGGUUUCAUGAAACUAAAUGUUGCAGGAAGUGAUGAUGAGCAUUAAGUAUUACAUAAAUUAAAGAAACAUGGUUUUGGGAGGAGAAUAAGGAUGAUAUGUAAGGUAGUAAAAGUGUAGGAAAUUUGGUGUGCCAUGUGGGACCACCUAGGCAUAUAUAACUUAGUUUAAUAUUUUGGAUAUAGAGUGGGGUCUACUUGGGUAGGUGAAAGAGUUUUGAUAGGACUUAGAAAAAUUGGGGUGUGUGUUUAGUAAAUAAUUGACUAUUUUAUUUUGGAUUGACUUGUCAUUAUUUUGUGGUUGUGUAAUGAUUGUUUUGAGAAUGUUUAUUAUUUAGAUUAUGUAUAUGUUUAUUUUGGCAAAAGUAUAUGAUUACAAAGUGAUGAAAG